AGAGUUUGAUCCUGGCUCAGAUUGAACGCUGGCGGCAUGCCUUACACAUGCAAGUCGAACGGUAACGCGGGGCAACCUGGCGACGAGUGGCGAACGGGUGAGUAACGCAUCGGAACGUGCCCAGUAGUGGGGGAUAGCCCGGCGAAAGCCGGAUUAAUACCGCAUACGACCUACGGGUGAAAGCGGGGGACCGUAAGGCCUCGCGCUAUUGGAGCGGCCGAUGUCAGAUUAGGUAGUUGGUGGGGUAAAAGCCUACCAAGCCGACGAUCUGUAGCUGGUCUGAGAGGACGACCAGCCACACUGGGACUGAGACACGGAUCCAGACUCCUACGGGAGGCAGCAGUGGGGAAUUUUGGACAAUGGGCGCAAGCCUGAUCCAGCCAUGCCGCGUGCGGGAUGAAGGCCUUCGGGUUGUAAACCGCUUUUGUCAGGGAAGAAACGCUCCGGGCCAAUACCCUGCGGUAAUGACGGUACCUGAAGAAUAAGCACCGGCUAACUACGUGCCAGCAGCCGCGGUAAUACGUAGGGUGCAAGCGUUAAUCGGAAUUACUGGGCGUAAAGCGUGC
rnacentral:rRNA from 1 species